GGGAAUAUAGCUCAGUUGGUAGAGAGCUUGCCUCCCAUUCACAAGGACCUGGGUUCAAUCCCAGCAUCACCA
rfam:Ictidomys tridecemlineatus contig063083, whole genome shotgun sequence.